rnacentral:rRNA from 1 species
UACGAAGGUCCCGAGCGUUGUUCGGAAUCACUGGGCGUAAAGGGAGCGUAGGCGGCGUGGUAAGUCAGAUGUGAAAUCCCGGGGCUCAACCCCGGAACUGCAUCCGAUACUGCCAUGCUAGAGGAUUGGAGAGGUAGCUGGAAUUCUUGGUGUAGCAGUGAAAUGCGUGGAGAUCAAGAGGAACACUCGUGGCGAAAGCGAGCUACUGGACAAUAUCUGACGCUGAGACGCGAAAGCGUGGGGAGCGAACCGG